UGGUGGACGGGAUAUGUUCGGUUUUUAUGGUAUCUAUACCGAGGGCACUACAUAAUAAGUACAGGGCGAUUUUGUUAUCGCGAACCGACGAUUUUCGGCAAAUUCAAUACGCGUUGUAUACGAUUCUCUGUGCGUCUACCGUAUCGACGUUCAAAAGUUUUUUUUUCGAAAUAUCGAUUUGCGUAGUAUAUCGAUGUUCAUAGUAUUAUCGUGCGCGUCGAAAUUUUAAGAAAAACAUUCUUUAUUCGAAGCGGAAUUUGAAAAUUUAGGUUGCUAUUUGAAAA